GACAGAGGUUGCAAGCGUUGUUCGGAAUUACUGGGCAUAAAGCGCACGUAGGCGGUCCGCUAAGUCCGAUGUGAAAUCCCCCGGCUCAACCGGGGAAUUGCGUCAGAUACUGGCGGGCUUGAGGUCGAUAGGGGUGAGUGGAACUCCAGGUGGAGCGGUGAAAUGCGUAGAUAUCUGGAGGAACACCGGUGGCGAAAGCGACUCACUGGAUCGAAUCUGACGCUGAGGUGCGAAAGCUAGGGUAGCAAACGGG
rnacentral:rRNA from 1 species